rnacentral:rRNA from 1 species
AGCGAACGCUGGCGGCAGGCUUAACACAUGCAAGUCGAGCGGGCCCUUCAGGGUCAGCGGCGGACGGGUGAGUAACGCGUGGGAACGUGCCUUCUGGUCUGGAAUAACUCUGGGAAACUAGGGCUAAUACCGGAUACGCCCUUUUGGGGAAAGGUUUACUGCCGGAAGAUCGGCCCGCGUCUGAUUAGCUAGUUGGUGGGGUAACGGCCUACCAAGGCGACGAUCAGUAGCUGGUCUGAGAGGAUGAUCAGCCACACUGGGACUGAGACACGGCCCAGACCCCUACGGGAGGCAGCAGUGGGGAAUAUUGGACAAUGGGCGCAAGCCUGAUCCAGCCAGGCCGCGUGAGUGAUGAAGGCCUUAGGGUUGUAAAGCUCUUUUAUCCGGGACGAUAAUGACGGUACCGGAGGAAUAAGCCCCGGCUAACUUCGU